rnacentral:rRNA from 1 species
ACGAACGCUGGCGGCGUGCUUAACACAUGCAAGUCGAACGGAAAGGCCCUGCUUUUGUGGGGUGCUCGGGUGGCGAACGGGUGAGUAACACGUGAGUAACCUGCCCUUGACUUUGGGAUAACUUCAGGAAACUGGGGCUAAUACCGGAUAGGAGCUCCUGCUGCAUGGUGGGGGUUGGAAAGUUUCGGCGGUUGGGGAUGGACUCGCGGCUUAUCAGUUUGUUGGUGGGGUAGUGGCUUACCAAGGCUUUGACGGGUAGCCGGCCUGAGAGGGUGACCGGCCACAUUGGGACUGAGAUACGGCCCAGACUCCUACGGGAGGCAGCAGUGGGGAAUAUUGCACAAUGGGCGGAAGCCUGAUGCAGCAACGCCGCGUGCGGGAUGACGGCCUUCGGGUUGUAAACCGCUUUCGCCUGUGACGAAGCGUGAGUGACGGUAAUGGGUAAAGAAGCACCGGCUAACUACGUG